CAUUUCCCGGGAUGGUUUCCGCUGCUAGGCAUUUGACCAGACUCUCCUACUAGUCAGUGUGGCCCCUGACUCUGUGCCGGGCCUGAGGAUGCCCUCCGUCGUCACCCCUUAUAACCUGUUACCCCCCUUGGGACUAGGUCGGUACGGCGCACACACUUCUUCCGGAAGCCCAACAUUUCGUGAAAGUCUCCCCUCCUUCCGGACAACCGAUUAUAGGUUGUCCUAACUGCAAUGGGAGUCUUCUUCGUGGCCGUUUGAGGCACGGUCGUCGGCGCCAUUAUGCCUCCCACGCUCGCAAUUAGCCUUAAUGACCCGCAUUUCGCGCGCAUCCGCCAACCCUUUCAACCUACACUUUCGGGACCCGAAUUGGACCCUUAACGUAGGUUUUGAAGGACCGAUCUCAUGUCAUCUCCCACUGCCUUAAGGGCCACAUCGCCACUUUACGCAUCUAUAGCCCUCCUUGUAGUCACCGCUUCCGCCAACGGACCUGACUAUGACUGCGACUCCACGCUUUCGCACCCCUCGUUUGUCCUAAUCUAUGGGACCAUCAGGUGCGGCAUUUGCUACUCUUGAUCGGCAACCCCAGGAACUCUGGAAUCACCGCGUCGAUUGCGUGAUU
rnacentral:rRNA from 1 species